GGGGGGACCAUCCUCCAAGGCUAAAUACUCCUGACUGACCGAUAGUGAACCAGUACCGUGAGGGAAAGGCGAAAAGAACCCCGGCGAGGGGAGUGAAAAAGAACCUGAAACCGUGUACGUACAAGCAGUGGGAGCACGCUUAGGCGUGUGACUGCGUACCUUUUGUAUAAUGGGUCAGCGACUUAUAUUCUGUAGCAAGGUUAACCGAAUAGGGGAGCCGAAGGGAAACCGAGUCUUAACUGGGCGUUAAGUUGCAGGGUAUAGACCCGAAACCCGGUGAUCUAGCCAUGGGCAGGUUGAAGGUUGGGUAACACUAACUGGAGGACCGAACCGACUAAUGUUGAAAAAUUAGCGGAUGACUUGUGGCUGGGGGUGAAAGGCCAAUCAAACCGGGAGAUAGCUGGUUCUCCCCGAAAGCUAUUUAGGUAGCGCCUCGUGAAUUCAUCUCCGGGGGUAGAGCACUGUUUCGGCAAGGGGGUCAUCCCGACUUACCAACCCGAUGCAAACUGCGAAUACCGGAGAAUGUUAUCACGGGAGACACACGGCGGGUGCUAACGUCCGUCGUGAAGAGGGAAACAACCCAGACCGCCAGCUAAGGUCCCAAAGUCAUGGUUAAGUGGGAAACGAUGUGGGAAGGCCCAGACAGCCAGGAUGUUGGCUUAGAAGCAGCCAUCAUUUAAAGAAAGCGUAAUAGCUCACUGGUCGAGUCGGCCUGCGCGGAAGAUGUAACGGGGCUAAACCAUG
rnacentral:rRNA from 1 species